UUAGAGUGUAAGCCAAUGUUUCUUUCUAAAAACUGGAGGGAUGCACUCUGCAAGUGUGAAAAAUGCAGUGAGUUUUACAUACAGAAGCAUAUUAGGUUUCUGCUUGACAAGGAAGACUCGAUCAUGGAGUAUGAGAAAAUGGCAAAACUGAAGAGAGAGGAAAAAUUGCAGGAACAGGAGGGGGCUGAGUUGACUAUGCUCGAUAAACUUGGCCAUGUAGAGAAAAUGGAGAUUCUGAGUGGCAUUGCAGACAUGAAAGAUGAGCUUCAUUCUUUCCUGGUAUGUCCUCGAUGAUUAUAAACUUUAAUUUUGUUCCAAGCAUUGCUUUUAUGAUCUAAAAUCACAUAAGAGACCAUUUAAGUUCUGAUCAAACUAUGUUACCUAAUUUUGCAGGGAUCGUUUGAUCCGUCGAAGACAAUCACCUCUGCUGAUGUCCACCAGAUGUUUGAGAAUCUAGCAAAGAAACGCAGGCGUGUAGAGUGAGUCAUAACUGGAUCUUUACUGCAGUCAUAAGCACUAGUUAAAUUAACCUUGUAUGGUUGCUUUUGGAGUUAAUCCUGGUUUCAGUAACAUUAAAAAGCCUACGUAGCUAGGCUGUUCUAAAUUAGAAUGCUGUACUAGUAUCGGUGUUGCUACCUUGCAGACUUAUCUUCUAACAAAUUACGAAGUUUAAUUUGAGGUGCUUUUUUUCAACUGCUAGACACGCAAUGCUUCUAUUGACACAACUGGAUCAUAUAAUUUUGUAUCUUUGUGUUGCAAUCUAUGAGUUACCUUCCACACUAUUCGCAGUAUGAAAUGUUCAUUAAUUAUGCAUAGUUUCGGGUGUGUGCUUCGCACGGGUGCAUGCAUCGGGUUGCGUUUGUUUAAUCACAUGAUUGUAUAUGAAGCAUGUGAAACUAAACUAGACUGCAGAAGUAGCAAAUUAAUCAAAUCUUGUGAGAAAAAUAGUAGGAACCAUACCUAGUUAGCGAAGCUUCUGCAUCAUUUACUGAUUCUGGAGAAUUUUAAGUUUUGGUUGGUUUCAUGCUAAAGCAUCCUGAAUGUGUAUAUGACAGUAAGCGCAAGACUCAACAAAUGUUGUGACAAAGUCGGGUGACUCCUAGCCGUUGAUAUAGUGUGGUGAUCAUACUGCACCAACGUCUCGGAAUCACCCACGCUCACGUGUGACUUGUG
rnacentral:lncRNA from 1 species